AAGGUGGAUUUGGUAACUGCCUCUAUCAACAGAAUGCACAAGAGUGAUGUUUUGUGACUGUCAGUGCCAAGUCAUAAAAGAUGUGAUUUCCUCCUGGUUCCGUCUCCCCUCUCCUUUGGACUCAGCCACUAUGUUGUGAGGAAGCCUAGGCCCCAUGGAGGGGCCACAUAGAUGCAUUCCAGGCAGCAGCCCCAGCAAAGGUCUCAAUCAACCACCAGUGUGUGAGUGAAGACACCUUCAGAUAAUUUUGCUUCCCAGACAUCAAGUCUUCCGGCUGGGUCCAAGACAUCACAAGGCAGAGACAAGCCCUCCUCUCUGUGCACUGUUGGAAUUCCCCACCCACAGAAACUGUGAGUGUAAAAAAAGGUUGAAAGCGAUGUAAAUUGCUCUUAUCUGAACCACAAUGAAUUCACAUAUUCAAGUUGGCUUCUUGGGAAAUUUCAGGCCACAAAUGGCAGUGACGUGAUCAGGAGCAGCAACACAUGCCACUUCCAUCCAGACAGAAGGACCCCAGGUCAAGGUCUGACAGGAGGAGCAGGAGCCAUCAAUGAGAGCAGACCUCAGAAGGCUGACGGAGGGGAGAGGAGCACCAUCCGCAGCCCCAUCCUCUGGAUGCUGUGGGAAGAAGUCCACAAAAUACUGCCCCUUGGAGUGAGUCGGUAGCAGAGCGCUUGCUGCUGGCUGCAAAUACCCCAUCAGAACAUGUUUGGGGUGAUUCUUGGACCUGGUUUCAAUUUCUUUUCUGCCAGUCAGCAGUUGUGCUUGACUCACAAUUUGUUGCCAUCUCCUGAAUUAAACUCAGGAAACAGGAUAAAGAUCAGAACCACAUUGUAAAAGCUUCCUUAUGGUUCCUUUUUUGCUAAGAUAAAUAAUGAGCAGCUCUGAUCCACCUCUCUGGAGAGCUCAGAGCACACUACCAGGAGCUCCUAUCCGCAGAGUGAGCACAGGCAACUGGUGAUCUCUUGAUAAGGAAAGACAGCAGUGUCCAAUCUACCCUGCCUUGCACGGAGCCCCAAGUGCUCGCCCAGACUAUGUUGCUACCUAAAGCACAUGGUAAUUGCGUGAUGCUAACCAAAGCAGACCCUCACUCAUUAGAAACAUCUGCUUUGCAUUAUUUACACAGGAAAAGUUUUCCUCUUUACUGAGCCUACCCAGUUCAAACUUAAGUGGGAUUUGCCAGCUAUCUGGCUAAUUUUAUGAGCAAUAAUAAAGAUUGGUGAACACUUGG